AGCCUCACGUUCUUCCCCCCAUGCAGCUAUUAAAUGUAAGUGCCACAUUAAUUAAAAUCCGUCGUGUUAGUGUCCCCCCUAACUAUCAUAUGUCUGACUGGUUGUAAUGAGUUGUUUGACGUUUUUCGCAAGCCUUAAUCUUUCCUUGUGGCGUGGGGGUGGAGGGUAAAAAUUGAUCUAGCAGCGGUUUAUUUAUUUAUUUACGGUAAAGGAAGCCUCUCAAGGGCAAAAAAUAAGAAAACAAUGAAACAAGGCCCGCUAAUUAAUGCUCCUAUAGGUAUAAAAGAGUAGAGUGGUCGAAAGGGAGGUCAAUUUCGAAGAUGUCCUGAUACUCUCCUAUAUAGAGUUCAAGUCGUAGGCAGGAGGAAAUACAGAUGAAGGAAUGAGAGAGUGAAGAUGCUGGUUAACUCUUGCAUGAGGGAAAUGAUCAUAAUUAUCUCAAAGAGCACUUCAAGAAAGGUAGGAAAUGGCCUAGGUCGAACGUCAGGGCUCACUUACUAGUCUUUCAUAAUUUAAUCUGCUCAGCACAUCUUAAUAUUUCAAAUGUUUCUCUGCCAAUCUGUAAUCCGAAUUCCCUCACCCCAAGGGAUAGGUAGGAAAUGGCCUAGGUCGAAGGUCAGGGCUCACGUCUUUCAUAAUAGGAAAUAAGAAGAAAGGAAGGAUAGGAGGAAGAAAGGAAAGGAAAAAAGAGGAAGGGAAAGAAAAGGAAGUUAGGAAGGGAAAAAUGAAGGAAAGAACACACCACACUAAAAAGACAUCCCUUGAUUAAUUAACCUGAUAAGUAAGUCUCCUUAAUUAAUAUUUAAAAUGUUUGUCUGCUAAUCUGUAAUCCGGAAAUCCCUCACCCCGAAACCCUGAAAUUCCCCGUAAUAAGGUUUUACCCACCACAGGCUCAUGGCCAAAGCAACAGAUAUGAGCACUGAGGCCAUGCCCAGCUAUACCAUAUGCCUCAAACUUUACUUAUGUGCCAUUUUGAGAACUACAUACAUUAAUUCACACUUUUAAGUCUUGAUCCAGUUUUACCAUGCAGCAGACUGUCACAUGUCUGUUAAGCCUGCCAAUUCCUUCAAAGAUCUAAAUGUACUGCCAUUUGUUCCGUGGUCAGCACAUCAUAAGUCUUCUAUAAACACUUACUUUUCCCAUAUUGGCUGCAUUUAUCCUUACUGCCCUCCAUUUGGUAUACAAGGAAAAUUUUAAGUUUCCUUUACUACCCAUUUCCUGGAUAACCUUAACAUCUUAUAAUUUCCCUCCAGAGGAAACAAAAAAUAGCCAAGCAUUAAAAAGAAAUUUAUUAGAUAAGUUGACAUGAUCCUACAAUAAAUCAUACAAAAACCCUUUUAAGUAAUGGUAGAUUCCUUAUGGGCAACAGCUGAUGCAACACAAGAUUUUGAGCAGUUUCAAUUACAAAAUGUGGUUUCAGCCAAUGUUGUAAAGGGCUAAAACCAUGAUUUUAGUUAUAUAUAAAGCUAAUUAUACUUAAUGAAAACUGGAAGUAGAAGACUGAUAUUCCCUUAUUUGUGAUAUGACAUAACAUACAAAUGGAAGAGCUUCAUGUAAUACUAAACUUGCCAGGGCCGGCUCGUGGCGGCGGGUGACACUGUUACAGUGUUCAAGGGGCAGCUCAUAAGGCAUCCCAGCCGGGCCAGGGAGGCGGCCACAGGCGAGCUGUGGCCAGGCUCUCCGCUGCUGCUGGAGGCACAGGGCCCCAGCAGACCUUUCCUAUAGGCGGCCCCGAUGACACUGGAGUCUAUAGUGAGUGGAAUGCCAGACUUGCCUGGCCUCCAUUGGGGAGGCACAGGCCAGCCACCAUAAGCUACAGCUUGAUCAGUGCACAGCUGCUGCCACCCUGCCACAUACCAGCCAAUUUAAUAAUCAAAAUAAUAAAUCACAAGUAUAAAACAA